rnacentral:lncRNA from 13 species
UAUACAUAAUCUAUACUUAAUAUGGGCUGGACACAGUGACUUACUUCUAAUGAGCAGAUUAUGGUAAAAGCAAUGAUCUUUCACUUCAAAGAUUAGGGAACAAAAAAAACUUUGACUUCUCUUUUGCUCUCUCACUUGCUUGCUAGAAUGAAACGCGACUUCCAUAUUGUGUCCUAACCUGUGGAGAAGUCCAUGCGGCAAGGAACUGAGAGAUGGGGCUCUUGCUGUAUUGCUCAGGCUGGUCUUGAACUUCUGGACUCAAGCAAUCCCCCACCCCAGCCUCCCCAGGUGCUGGGAUUAAAGUCAUUACCACUUGAGCAACAUAAUGAAAGCUAGAUGAAAAAUCUCUUAUGUGAGUGUCUAGAUACUUCAAGGUUGAAAGAAAGAUAAAAAUUGUUUUUUUUCUUAUGUUUAGCAGAAAGAGUUAAUUACAUCUACUCCUCUCUUCAAUAGAAAGAGAAAACCUCUUUUUCUCUGGAGAGAAGAUGAAAGGAUCCUGGGUUUUCCUAACUUAUUGGAGAGUAAAUACAUGCUGUUAAAGGCCAGAUAAGCCCAAGUAUCUCUGAUUUCUAAAGCCUAGAGAUGUCUCCAAGAUCUCAGGCCUUAUAUUACUGUAAAAUGUAAAUGUAUACAUUUAUAUUAGGUAAAUCUUUUUGGACUUCACUGAAUUCCAACUGUACAACUAUCUGUACAGUUGCAAAUUAAUUUUUUUUUUUGCAAAUUAAUUUUUAUACGUAUGCUCUUAGCCAAGCUCCCAUUUAUCAACAAAAUGUUUUCAUAAAGCCCCAACUCUGCACAAACACACAAAAAAUUU